GAAAUGCGAUAAGUAAUGUGAAUUGCAGAAUUUAGUGAAUCAUCGAAUCUUUGAACGCAUAUUACGCCUCUUGGUAUUCCGGGGGGCAUGCCUGUUCGAGCGUUAUUAGCAAUAUUCAAGCUUUGCUUGAUAUUGGGUUACACUAGUAAUAGCUAACUCUAAAACAAGUGAUAUUGCCGUUAGGUUUCAAGCAUAGUAAAUUUCUUGCUUGGGGACUUUGUGGUUAAAAAUCAUUAAUUCUAAAUUUUUAAGGUUAACCUCGAAUCAGGUAGGAAUACCCGCUGAACUUAA
rnacentral:misc_RNA from 1 species